CCUACGGGAGGCAGCAGUGGGGAAUAUUGCACAAUGGGCGUAACCCUGAUCCAGCCACGCCGCGUGAGUGAAGAAGUAUUUCUGUACUUAAAGCUCUAUCAGCAGGGAAGAAAAAAGGACGGUACCUGAGUAAGAAGCGCCGGCUAACUACGUGCCAGCAGCCGCGGUAAUAAGGAGGAGUCAAGCGUUAUCCGGAAUUACUGGGGGUAAAGGGAGCGUAGACGGCAAUGCAAUUCCGGAGUGGAAUGCGGAAGCGCAACUGCCGAACUGAUCUGGAAACUGUAUGUCUUGAGUGCAGGAGAGGUAAGCGGAAUUCCUGGUGUAGCGGUGAAAUGCGUAGAUAUCAGGCAGAACACCGGUGGCGAAGGCGGCUUACUGGACUGCAACUGACGUUGAGGCUCGAAAGCGUGGGGAGCAAACAGGAUUAGAUACCCUUGUAGUC
rnacentral:rRNA from 1 species